CUGAGUUGGAUUUGACUUCCUGGGACAGGACAGGGAAGGUUUGGGAAUUGGGAAGGAGUCAAAAAAUUCUGGAUAAUUAGGGUCUGCCGGGAGGGUAGGAAGUGUGGGCAGCUGGGGGCCGAUGUGUGUUUACGAGUGAGUGGGAGAGACGGGGUGGGCUGGCAGUGGAACAAAAAGUUCCAUUCUUCCAGUCAGUCCACAGUUUAUGUUGAUGCUACCCUCAAGAUAUAUCUUCAGCCACCUUUUAUCACCUCCAUGGAUGUAGCCGGCGACCACCAAACCUACCUAGGGUGACUGCAGUCUCCUGGUGGCUCUGCCCACUUCCACCCUUGCCCUCCUUCCUUCUGGGCUGUCAGACCUUUGCGUUCCUCUGCCAAACCCUCCAGGAUUCCCCACUACCCCCGACCCCGCCCCACUGCAUGAACUGCCUCCUGCUCCCUCCCACACCUGCCUGACCUCACUCCUUGGCUCUGCUUCAUUCUGCUCUUGCCCCAGGGCCCUUGCACUUGGUGAUCUUUCUGCCCUCAAUGCUUCUUGUCUUCACUCAGGCACAGGCUGGGCCCAUGGCAGUGUGUUAUCAGAACUUAUUAACAUUACUGUCACUAAAGUUGGUAUACACUCCCCCGCUGCUAAUUAGACUGGCUUUAAAAUUUAAAAACAAAAAAUAACUUCAGUAAGGCAUUCCCUGGCCUCUUUAUUGGAAAUUUCAACCACCCCUGACACCUCCUAUCUCCCUUCUGUUUUCUUUUUCCCCCUGGUGUGACCCCUAACUUACACUUAAUUACUUAUCUCAUUCACCUUCUAUUUCCCCCGCUAGAAUGCGAGCCCCAUGAGAGCAGGGGUUUUUGUCUGUGUGGUUUGGUUGGUUUCUUCCAUCCCGGUACCUAGAACAGUGCCUGGGACACAUCAUGAACUUAAUAAAUAUUUGUUGAACAAAUGAAUGAAUGCAGGAAGCCCCAC
rnacentral:lncRNA from 10 species